CCCACCUGUGGGACAGUGACAGUUAUAGGGUUAAAGUGACUGUGUAUAAUCCAGUGGAGGCUAAUAAUGACCCAGCUCUAGGAAGCAGAGCUGCCCAACCUAAUGGGUAACUCUGUGCCGAAAGGCCUGGAACAAAA